UACGUAGGGGGCUAGCGUUGCUCGGAAUUACUGGGCGUAAAGGGAGCGUAGGCGGACAUUUAAGUCAGAGGUGAAAUCCCGGAGCUUAACUUCGGAACUGCCUUUGAUACUGGGUGUCUUGAGUGUGAGAGAGGUAUGUGGAACUCCGAGUGUAGAGGUGAAAUUCGUAGAUAUUCGGAAGAACACCAGUGGCGAAGGCGACAUACUGGCUCAUUACUGACGCUGAGGCUCGAAAGCGUGGGGAGCAAACAGG
rnacentral:rRNA from 1 species